rnacentral:rRNA from 1 species
UAUGGUAAUUGUUUGCCCGAAGAAGAGGUAAAACGUAGGUCACAAGCGUUGUCCGGAAUUACUGGGUGUAAAGGGAGCGCAGGCGGGAAGACAAGUUGGAAGUGAAAUCCAUGGGCUCAACCCAUGAACUGCUUUCAAAACUGUUUUUCUUGAGUAGUGCAGAGGUAGGCGGAAUUCCCGGUGUAGCGGUGGAAUGCGUAGAUAUCGGGAGGAACACCAGUGGCGAAGGCGGCCUACUGGGCACCAACUGACGCUGAGGCUCGAAAGUGUGGGUAGCAAACAGG